AACGAACGCUGGCGGCAUGCCUAACACAUGCAAGUCGAACGAGACCUUCGGGUCUAGUGGCGCACGGGUGCGUAACGCGUGGGAACCUGCCCUUAGGUUCGGAAUAACUCCCCGAAAGGGGUGCUAAUACCGGAUAAUGUCUUCGGGCCAAAGAUUUAUCGCCUUUGGAUGGGCCCGCGUUGGAUUAGCUAGUUGGUAGGGUAAAAGCCUACCAAGGCGACGAUCCAUAGCUGGUCUGAGAGGAUGAUCAGCCACACUGGGACUGAGACACGGCCCAGACUCCUACGGGAGGCAGCAGUGGGGAAUAUUGGACAAUGGGCGAAAGCCUGAUCCAGCAAUGCCGCGUGAGUGAUGAAGGCCUUAGGGUUGUAAAGUUCUUUUACCCGGGAUGAUAAUGACAGUACCGGGAGAAUAAGCUCCGGCUAACUCCGUG
rnacentral:rRNA from 1 species